rnacentral:rRNA from 1 species
GAUAAGUAUUCUUUAAGACUCCUUCGAGCCUAGGAGGUUGAUAGGUUGGGGGUGUAAGGGCUGCGAGGCCUUUAGCUGACCAAUACUAAUAAGUCGAAGUUUUAACCUUAAAUUUACUAUAUAGUUUC